rnacentral:pre_miRNA from 1 species
AAUAGAUGACACCGUUGACUUUUUCUCACAUAUUUGACCAUUCGUCUUAUUUAAAAAAUUUACGUAAUUAUAAUUUAUUUUGUUAUGAGUUGUUUUAUCACUCAUAGUACUUUAAGUGUGAUUUAUAUCUUAUACAUUUGUAUAAAAUUUUUGAAUAAGAUGAAUGGUCAAAUAUGUUAAAAAAAGUUAACAGUAUUAUCUAUU